rnacentral:rRNA from 1 species
UACGUAGGGGGCAAGCGUUGUCCGGAAUCAUUGGGCGUAAAGAGCGUGUAGGCGGCUCGAUAAGUCUGCUGUGAAAGUCCAGGGCUCAACCCUGGAAGGCCGGUGGAAACUGUCGGGCUAGAGUCCGGAAGAGGCGAGUGGAAUUCCCGGUGUAGCGGUGAAAUGCGCAGAUAUCAGGAAGAACACCAAUGGCGAAAGCAGCUUUCUGGGACGGUACUGACGCUGAGACGCGAAAGCGUGGGGAGCGAACAGG